rnacentral:rRNA from 1 species
CGGAGGGUGCAAGCGUUAUCCGGAAUCAUUGGGUUUAAAGGGUCCGCAGGCGGUCUUAUAAGUCAGUGGUGAAAGCCUACAGCUUAACUGUAGAACUGCCAUUGAUACUGUAAGACUUGAAUUCGGUCGAAGUGGCGGAAUGUGACAUGUAGCGGUGAAAUGCUUAGAUAUGUCACAGAACACCGAUAGCGAAGGCAGCUCACUAGGCCUGGAUUGACGCUCAUGGACGAAAGCGUGGGGAGCAAACAGGAUUAGAUACCCUGGUAGUCCACGCCGUAAACUAUGAUUACUCGUUUUCGGCGAUAUACAGUCGGAGACUAAAGCGAAAGUGAUAAGUAAUCCACCUGGGAGUACGAUCGCAAGGUUG